rnacentral:rRNA from 1 species
AACGAACGCUGGCGGCAGGCUUAACACAUGCAAGUCGAACGCAUCCUUCGGGGUGAGUGGCAGACGGGUGAGUAACGCGUGGGAACGUGCCCUUCAGUUCGGGAUAACCCAGGGAAACUUGGGCUAAUACCGGAUACGUGCGAGAGCAGAAAGAUUUAUCGCUGAAGGAUCGGCCCGCGUCUGAUUAGCUAGUUGGUGGGGUAAUGGCCCACCAAGGCGACGAUCAGUAGCUGGUCUGAGAGGAUGAUCAGCCACAUUGGGACUGAGACACGGCCCAAACUCAUACGGGAGGCAGCAGUGGGGAAGAUUGGACAAUGGGCGCAAGCCUGAUCCAGCCAUUCCGCGUGAGUGAUGAAGGCCUUAGGGUUGUAAAGCUCUUUCGUCCGGGACGAUAAUGACGGUACCGGAAGAAGAAGCCCCGGCUAACUUCGUGCCAGCCGCCGCAGUAA